rnacentral:rRNA from 1 species
UACAGAGGUCUCAAGCGUUGUUCGGAUUCAUUGGGCUUAAAGGGUGUGUAGGUGGCGCGCUAAGUCGGGUGUGAAAUUUCGGAGCUUAACUCCGAAACUGCAUUCGAUACUGGCGUGCUUGAGGACUGGAGAGGAGACUGGAAUUUACGGUGUAGCAGUGAAAUGCGUAGAUAUCGUAAGGAAGACCAGUGGCGAAGGCGGGUCUCUGGACAGUUCCUGACACUGAGACACGAAGGCCAGGGGAGCAAACGGG